rnacentral:rRNA from 1 species
UACGUAGGGUGCGAGCGUUGUCCGGAAUUAUUGGGCGUAAAGAGCUCGUAGGCGGUCUGUCGCGUCGAUCGUGAAAACUUGGGGCUUAACCCUGAGCUUGCGGUCGAUACGGGCAUGACUGGAGUUCGGCAGGGGAGACUGGAAUUCCUGGUGUAGCGGUGAAAUGCGUAGAUAUCGCUUGGAACGCCAACGGUGAAAACAGCUCGCUGGGGGUGUGCUGACGCUGAGACACGAAAGCCAGGGGAGCGAACGGG